GACGAACGCUGGCGGCGUGCCUAAUACAUGCAAGUUGAGCGAUGAAGAUUGGUGCUUGCACCAAUUUGAAGAGCAGCGAACGGGUGAGUAACGCGUGGGGAAUCUGCCUUUGAGCGGGGGACAACAUUUGGAAACGAAUGCUAAUACCGCAUAACAACUUUAAACAUAAGUUUUAAGUUUGAAAGAUGCAAUUGCAUCACUCAAAGAUGAUCCCGCGUUGUAUUAGCUAGUUGGUGAGGUAAAGGCUCACCAAGGCGAUGAUACAUAGCCGACCUGAGAGGGUGAUCGGCCACAUUGGGACUGAGACACGGCCCAAACCCCUACGGGAGGCAGCAGUAGGGAAUCUUCGGCAAUGGACGAAAGUCUGACCGAGCAACGCCGCGUGAGUGAAGAAGGGUGUCGGAUCGUAAAACUCUGUUGGUAGAGAAGAACGUUGGUGAGAGUGGAAAGCUCAUCAAGUGACGGUAACUACCCAGAAAGGGACGGCUAACUACGUG
rnacentral:rRNA from 1 species